rnacentral:tmRNA from 1 species
GGGGCCGACUGGUUUUGACAGCAUAAGGCAGGGUAGGUGUAAGCAUGUCGUGCGUUGUGUAAUUAGCACGUAAAUCUGAAUGCUCAAACUUCAACUGGCGAAUCUAACUACGCCAUGGCUGCUUAAUCAGAGAUUAACGCAACCAUUAUGGCCGCCGGGAAUGCUGCCCAUUGCAGUCCCCGCCGCCCAAUCAAACAAAUAAUGGGAUAAGGCUUGUAUUGCUACGCUGCAAGCAUUAAAAUCAAAGUGGCUGGGAAGCAGGUAGGUUUGUCCUUUUCCGGCAGGCUUCCAAGAUCAAAUAAAGGAAUAAACAUGUAGAAAGCUUAUUGGGCAUGUGUUUGGACCCGGGUUCGAAUCCCGGCGGCUCCACAA